rnacentral:rRNA from 1 species
GCNGUCGUACGAGAGUUUUUAACUCUAGUGGCGGACGGGUGAGUAACACGUAAGAAUUUACCUUUAGGAGGGGGAUAUUAAAAUACCCCAUAUGCUUUCGAGUGAAAUGGAUUUCCGCCUAGAGAGAAGCUUGCGGCUGAUUAGCUUGUUGGUAAGGUACUGGCUUACCAAGGCGACGAUCAGUAUCUGGUUUGAGAGGACGAUCAGACACACUGGAACUGAGACACGGUCCAGACUCCUACGGGAGGCAGCAGUGGGGAAUUUUCCGCAAUGGGCGAAAGCCUGACGGAGCAAUCUCGCGUGAGGGAUGACGGCCUAUGGGUUGUAAACCUCUUUUUUCAGGGAGGAAUAAAUGACGUGUACCUGAAGAAUAAGCAUCGGCUAACUCCGUGCCAGCAGCCGCGGUAAGACGGAGGAUGCAAGUGUUAUCCGGAAUCACUGGGCGUAAAGCGUCUGUAGGUGGUUUAAUAAGUCAACUGUUAAAUCUUGAAGCUCAACUUCAAAAUCGCAGUCGAAACUAUUAGACUAGAGUAUAGUAGGGGUAAAGGGAAUUUCCAGUGGAGCGGUGAAAUGCGUAGAGAUUGGAAAGAACACCGAUGGCGAANGCACUUUACUGGGCUAUUACUGACACUCAGAGACGAAAGCUAGGGUAGCAAAUGGGAUUAGAUACNCCAGUAGUCCUAGCCGUAAACAAUGGAUACUAGAUGUUGAACAGAUCGACCUGUGCAGUAUUAAAGCUAACGCGUUAAGUAUCCCGCCUGGGAAGUAUGCUCGCANGANUGAAACUCAAAGGAANUNGANNGGGCCCGCACAAGCGGNGGANCAUGUGNUUUANUUCGAUGCANCGCGAA